UGCAUCGUUUUCAUGCUACUU
rnacentral:piRNA from 1 species